CUUUGAUUCGAAUCGGACUGAAACAGAGAGAACAACCGUGAAAUCAUAAAAAUAUAUCUUUUUUUUGUCGUGUAAUGAAAGUACUGAUGUCGAUUGAUUGAUAUUCAGUAGUUUUUGUAUUGCUUUUGCUGUGGUAGGGAGUAGCAGUGUUGGCGUAAAAAUGCGUUUUUUUGUAGGUCAUCUUACCUCGUUCGUAAUUUCUGCUUCUUCCUCAUAACUAAGAGCGACUACGGCUAACAUUAAAUUUAUUAAAUAAAAUGAACCGAAAAACACAACCACAGUAAAAAAUGAAACGCUCAUUGGACCCGAUGUUGCCAGUAUCUGAAACGAUCAAAAGUUCACUUUCUUAACCAAUUUUCUAAGAUUGAAUAGAAAAAAGAAGACUAUGAAGAGCCCAUACUAACGAGAACCCGCAUUAAUAAAAAAGGUCGGACUUGUGGGUGAAAAACUAGCUCCCGAAGAAUAAUUUGCUUAUUAAAACAAACAAUUGAGUCCUGAAAAAGAACUGGGGAAAAAAUGAAGAAAGGAUGCGAACUAGGAAAUCGAAUCCCCGACUCUCGAAGAAGAAUUUGUAUUAAGGAAGCGAAAAAUUGGUCCAUAAAGAAGUUAGUUUCCGAAGAAGCACUCACACUUAUGAAGCGAGAAUUGGCUCCGGAAGAAAUAACACAAUCAAACAACUGGUUCCAUAAGGAGCAAUAGGGAAGAUUCCGUUCGAAGAAGAAGAAGAAUUUAGAUCAUUGAUCCG